GAUGAAGAACGUAGCGAAAUGCGAUAAGUAGUGUGAAUUGCAGAAUUCAGUGAAUCAUCGAAUCUUUGAACGCACAUUGCGCCCCGUGGUAUUCCAUGGGGCAUGCCUGUUCGAGCGUCAUUUGUACCCUCAAGCUUUGCUUGGUGUUGGGUGUUUGUCCUCUCCUUUGCGUUUGGACUCGCCUUAAAGCAAUUGGCAGCCAGUGUUUUGGUAUUGAAGCGCAGCACAAUUUGCGAUUCUAACCGACUACACUUGCGUCCAUAAGCCUUUUUUAACUUUUGACCUCGGAUCAGGUAGGGAUACCCGCUGAACUUAAGCAUAUCAAUAAGCGGAGGA
rnacentral:misc_RNA from 1 species